UGGAUAAGCCCAAAGACAUAUAGCCUCACA
rnacentral:piRNA from 1 species